rnacentral:rRNA from 1 species
GCUUGUCUCAAAGAUUAAGCCAUGCAUGUCUAAGUAUAAGCAUUAUACAGUGAAACUGCGAAUGGCUCAUUAUAUCAGUUAUAGUUUAUUUGAUAGUCCCUACUAUUUGGAUAACCGUAGUAAUUCUAGAGCUAAUACAUGCGUCAAGCCUCGACUCACGGAGAGGUGUAUUUAUUAGAUACAAAACCAACCCGGGCAACCGGUCCUUUGGUGAUUCAUGAUAACUUUGCGAAUCGCAUAGCUUUAAUGCUGGCGAUGGGUCAUUCAAAUUUCUGCCCUAUCAACUUUCGACGGUAGGAUAGAGGCCUACUGUGGUGAUAACGGGUAACGAAGAAUAAGGGUUCGAUUUCGGAGAGGGAGCCUGAGAAACGGCUACCACAUCCAAGGAAGGCAGCAGG